rnacentral:rRNA from 1 species
GGCCAGACUCCUACGGGAGGCAGCAGUAGGGAAUUUUCGGCAAUGGGGGGAACCCUGAACCAGCAACGCCGCGUGAGGGAAGACGGUUUUCGGAUUGUAAACCUCUGUCCUCUGUGAAGAUAAUGACGGUAGCAGAGGAGGAAGCUCCGGCUAACUACGUGCCAGCAGCCGCGGUAAUACGUAGGGAGCGAGCGUUGUCCGGAUUUACUGGGUGUAAAGGGAGCGUAGACGGCACUGCAAGUCCGGAGUGAAAGCCCAAGGCUUAACCAUGGGACUGCUCUGGAAACUGUGGAGCUUGAGUGCGGGAGGGGCAGGCGGAAUUCCUGGUGUAGCGGUGAAAUGCGUGGAUAUCAGGAGGAACACCGGUGGCGAAGGCGGCCUGCUGGACUGCGACUGACGUUGAGGCCCGAAAGCGUGGGGAGCAAACAGGAUUAGAUACCCCUGUACUG